rnacentral:lncRNA from 1 species
GGACCAGGGAGGUGGCUUGUUCAGGAAAGAGUUAACUCAACAGGUCUGGGAUAUUCAAAUCCCACACAUUUCGAAAAAAAGUUCUCUCCUCAUUGGCUCCUGGGAGAAAAUCUCUACGUCUUUGGACUAUUCUUCCAGAUUGGAGACUGAAAAGAAGAGAAGUUAAGGAACUUGUCUAAGAUUAUCAAGCAAAAAUUUAAAGCUGAAGUUUCAAUAUUUUCUCAGAAAACAAGAAAAGUUAGUGAUCUCAUUAUAGAAGUAAGUACAAUAUAAUAAAUAUAAAUACAUUUAAUAUAUUUAAUUAGAAAUAAUUAAAAUUUUCUUACAGUGAAAGGAUUUGUAUCACUU